GAUGGCUCAGUGGUUAAGAGCACUGGACUGUUCUUCCAGAGGACCUGGGUUCAAUUCCCAGCACCCA